GCCAUAUUUAACGGUAUAAAGUGUUGUUACACAGUUACUAACAUCAUUGAAAUUUGAUUUACACAUUGAUUGGAUUACUACUGGAGAAAAUUUGCAAAAGAACGAUGCCAAGGUCAAGAAGGACGUCACAGAGUCACAGCCAAAAUCGUCAUAGGUCAAAGUCACGAAGCCAGCACCAGGCUUACCGCUCCCGAAGCAGAGAGUCGAGCCUGUCCAGCUACCGUAGUCGCAAGAGGAGAAGAGUACGUCAUUCCAGUGAUAGGCUUGAGUCGAGAUCAACAAAGCAUUGCAGUAGUGACAGGUAUCGGCGCGCAGGGAGGCAGAGCAGUGUGCGCAAGGACGGCGCCUACAGCUCGACCCGCAGCAGCCAGCAGCACCGCCGCGAUGUCUCCGCUGACAGGUACCACUCGAGGGACGGCAGCGGAGGACGGCACCACAGGCGGAGACACAAGCAUCACCGACACCACCACCACCACCGUCGCACCGACACGUCCGAAAGCCGGGAGAAACAUGAAAAGUUUCCCCAGUUCCAAACGGCCCGCUUUCCAAUUCUAAGUUUUGGCCAGUCGAAGACUUUUGCUGUUGCGGAUGGAAGGAAGCGCCCUGUACUGCUGACAAAGUUUAUCAGUCGCCGCACCAGCUCAAGUCCUGGAGAACCAAGUGUAGAAGAUGACGAAGAGGGUCACCUGAUCUAUCGACCUGGCGAUUGGCUGCAAGCUAGAUAUGAAAUCAAUGGCACCCUUGGAGAAGGCACCUUUGGUAAAGUGCUGGAGGUGAAGGAUCAUCAAAGCGCUAACGGCCAAACGAUUGCACUGAAGGUGAUCAAAAAUGUGGAGAAGUACCGGGAGGCUGCGAAGCUGGAGAUCAACGUCCUCGAAAAGCUCACGGAGAAGGAUCCAAAUGGCAUAUAUUUAUCCGUACGUAUGUUGGAUUGGUUCGACUACCACGGACAUAUGUGCAUUGCUUUUGAGAUUCUGGGCCUCAGCGUGUUUGACUUUCUGAAGGACAAUGGUUACCAGCCGUAUCCACUGGACCAAGUACGACACAUAGCCUAUCAGCUAUGCCACUCUGUCAAAUUUCUGCAUGGCAACCAGCUUACCCAUACGGACCUGAAGCCAGAGAAUAUCCUAUUUGUUUCCUCCGAAUACAUGAUUGAACAAAUCCCCAAACGGGUGAGUAGUUCUCGCAGCAGACAUAAACAGGUGAAAAAAAGAAUUCAAGCGGGUGCAAAACACAGAAAUCCGUCUGAUUGACUUUGGCUCAGCAACAUUUGACCAUGAGCAUCAUAGCACCAUAGUAUCAACGAGACACUACAGAGCGCCAGAGGUGAUAUUAGAACUAGGAUGGUCACAACCAUGCGAUAUAUGGAGCAUUGGUUGUAUUAUAUUUGAACUUUACCUAGGUAUCACCAUGUUCCAGACUCACGACAACCGCGAGCAUUUAGCGAUGAUGGAGCGCAUCUUGGGUCCACUGCCUUACCGACUCUGUCGGCGGUCGAAGACCAAGUACUUCUACCACGGCCGGCUG
rnacentral:misc_RNA from 1 species